AAUGAACGCUGGCGGCAUGCCUAAUACAUGCAAGUCGAACGAGACCUCCGGGUCCUGUGGCGUCUGGCUGUGUCACGCGAGGGAACCUGCACUCAGGUUUGGCCUACCUCUCCGAAUGGGGUGACAUCACCGGACCAUAUCUUAUGCCCAAUGAUUUAUCGCCUCUGGUUGGGCCAGCGUUGGAUUAGCUAGUUGGUAGGGUAAUAGCUUACUCAGGCGACGAUCCAUUGCUGGUCUGAGAGGAUGAUCAGCCACACUGAGACUGGGACCCGGCCUAGACUCCUACGGGAGGCAGCAGUGGGGAAGAUGGGACGAUGGGCGAAAGCCUGAGCCAGCAGUGCCGCGAGAGUGAUUAAGGCGUUAGGAUUGUAAAGCUCUUUUACCCGGGAUGAUAAGGACAGAACCGGGAGAAUAAGCUCCGGCUAACACCGU
rnacentral:rRNA from 1 species